rnacentral:lncRNA from 1 species
CCCAUAUCUAACCUUAAUUCUGGCACCUUGACUUCCCAUCAAGAGGACCUCUGUUAAGUCCACCCACCACACGCCACUGCAGCAAGCAUUACCAUGCUUGCUAAAUGAUUUGCCAGCCAUGGCCAGUUACAAAGUUACAAACACAGCGAAAAGAAAAUGUCAUGGGUCAAAACACAAAUUAGAUUAAAAAAUGAAUACUAGCUAGUUGUUUUCUUCUUUCUUUGUUAAACAAAAUUAUUUCUGCUCAACCAGGUGUGAUUUAUAUGACAAGUCACAGAACCUAAGCCUUAAAAUGUAUAUAAUAAAUGAAUAUGCUAGGAAACAU